GCCAGUGUGGUGUAGUGGUUUGAGGGUUGGACUAUGACUCUAGAGACUAGGGUUUGAAUCCCAGCUUGGCCA
rnacentral:tRNA from 1 species